UGAAGGCUGAAAUUCGCCUUCAUGAAGCCGGAAUUGCUAGUAAUGGCAGGUCAGCAUACUGCCGUGAAUACGUUCCCGGGCCUUGUACACACCGCCCGUCACACCAUGAGAGUUGGGGAUACCCGAAGUCAGUGGCCUAACCGCAAGGAGGGAGCUGCCUAAGGUGGGGUAGAUGAUUGGGGUGAAGUCGUAACAAGGUAUC
rnacentral:rRNA from 1 species